CCCACCUGACCCCAUGCCGAACUCAGAAGUGAAACGCCGUAGCGCCGAUGGUAGUGUGGGGCCUCCCCAUGCGAGAGUAGGGAACUGCCAGGC
rnacentral:rRNA from 3 species